CCUCACGUUUCAUCAUUCGUUGCUCCAUGAUGUUGGAUGCUAAAAGUGGUUCCUGUGUUGCAUACCCGUUGAGAUGGGAAAUUCAUCCCUUUCGUUGUCCCUUUCGUCGUAAUGUCCUUUCGGGCGUUCGAUGGAGUAGAUGGUGGCUCUCGUGUUCCACGAACAUCUCGCUUGAUUUGUUACGAUGGACCGUGAUUGCCUACUCGUUCUCUUGGAUGCGGAGCAUUUGCAAUGGGUGUGGGGUCAUUGGCCCUUGUUCCCAAAGUGUUAAGCGUCAUUCGCUUUCAUAAGACGACGCUCUUGCCUUGUGUUGGCCGUGUGGAGCCCUCGGGCUGCAUGCAGGAUCAUGCAAGGUGGACGUCAUGGAGGAAUGCUACCUGGUUG
rnacentral:misc_RNA from 1 species